rnacentral:rRNA from 1 species
CCCCUAGACGUUCUGGGCCGCACGCGCGCUACACUGAUGCAUUCAACGAGCCUAUCCUUGACCGACAGGUCCGGGUAAUCUUUGAAUCUGCAUCGUGACGGGGAUAGAUUAUUGCAAUUAUUAAUCUUCAACGAGGAAUGCCUAGUAGGCGCAAGUCAUCAGCUUGCGUCGAUUACGUCCCUGCCCUUUGUACACACCGCCCGUCGCUCCUACCGAUUGGGUGUGCUGGUGAAAUGUUCGGAUCGGCCGUUUGUCGCGGUUUCCGCGUCAUGUGGCUGAGAAGUUCAUUAAACCCUCCCACCUAGAGGAAGGAGAAGUCGUAACA